AUGGCCAUUUACAAAACCACACGCAAAAAAUAUUACAUGGAAAAACUAUCAAAACUUAAACCCAGUCUCCAAUCUUUCUUCAUACAAAUUCCAUCUUCAAAUCCUUGCCAUAACUCCAUAAUUUUGUAUCUUCAAAAUUUCCUCUUCAAGCUUCUAAAAAAUUGUCUAUUCCUGUGUUCAAGACCAGGCCUGCCAAUUAAUCAAAUGCAACCCUAA